rnacentral:rRNA from 1 species
AUUGAACGCUGGCGGCAGGCCUAAUACAUGCAAGUCGAACGGUAACAGGAAGCAGUUUGUUGUUUUGCUGUCGCGUGGCGGACGGGUGUGUCACGUCUGUGACACUGCUUUAUGGCUGGGGUUAACUACUGGAAACGGUAGCUAUUACCGCUUAACUUUGCAACACCAAAGUUCAGUACCUUCGGGCCUCUUUCCAUUCGCUGUUCCCGGAUUGGAUUAGCUAGUAGGUAAGGUAACGGCUCACCUAGGCGACGAUCCCUAGCUGGUCUGAGAGGUUGACCAGCCACACUGGAACUGAGACACGGUCCAGACUCCUACGGGAGGCAGCAGUAGGGAAUAUUGCGCAAUGGGCGAAAGCCUGAUGGAGCAAUGCCGCGUGUAUGAUGAAGGCCUUCGGAUUGUAAAAUACUUUCAGCAGGGAAGAAGAAAGGAGAAAGAAAAUCUGCACUCAUUGACGGUACCUGAAGAGAAAGCAACGGCUAACUACGUG